ACUCAUAUCUUGCAGAGGAAAUACUAUUUUAUAAAAGUGGUUUUUCCCAGGGGGAAGGUUCCUCCAUUGCACUUCAUGUAUGCUGCUGAUCCCUGUGAUUUCCCUAAAUGUGGGGAACUCAACUGCAUAAUUUGUGUUAAUGGGAGAUUGCACUUAUGAUUUCCCU
rnacentral:snRNA from 1 species